rnacentral:rRNA from 1 species
UACGGGGGGGGCAAGCGUUGUUCGGAAUUACUGGGCGUAAAAGGCUUGUAGGUGGCCACGGCAAGUCGGAUGUGAAAUCUCCCGGCUCAACUGGGAGGGGUCAUUCGAUACUGCCGGGCUCGAGGCCGGUAGGGGGAAGCGGAAUUCCCGGUGUAGUGGUGGAAUGCGUAGAUAUCGGGAGGAACACCAGAGGCGAAGGCGGCUUCCUGGACCGGUCCUGACACUGAGGAGCGAAAGCGUGGGGAGCGAUCCGG